GUUCACUGCCGCCUCUCGCUUUCGCCGUCUAGGGUUUCCCCCCGUUCCGAAGCCAUGUCUCUGCGACCGAGCGAGAGGACGGAGGUCCGGCGGAACCGGUACAAGGUCGCCGUAGAUGCCGACGACGGCCGUCGGCGGCGGGAGGACAACAUGAUCGAGAUCCGCAAGAGCAAGCGGGAGGAAAGCCUUCAGAAGAAGCGCCGCGAGGGGAUGCCGUCUCAGAACUCUAUCCUCUCGCUCCAGUCCUCCGUCAUCGAGAAGAAGUUGGAAACGCUUCCGGCGAUGGUGGCGGGGGUUUACACCGAUGAUAACACCAUGCAACUCGAAGCGACAACUCAGUUCAGGAAAUUGUUAUCUAUAGAGCGGAGUCCUCCGAUUGAAGAGGUGAUCCAAGCCGGCGUGGUUCCUCGAUUAGUGGAAUUCCUGAUGAGAAGUGAUUUCCCUCAAUUGCAGUUUGAGGCUGCAUGGGCUCUCACGAACAUUGCAUCCGGGACUUCGGAGAACACCAAGGUGGUCAUCGACCAUGGCGCUGUUCCUAUUUUCGUGCAGCUUCUCCAGGCGAUGAGCGAUGAUGUUCGCGAGCAGGCUGUUUGGGCUCUUGGA
rnacentral:misc_RNA from 1 species